CUCAGAACCUGUAAAGAAAAAAGGAGAAAGAAAAGCCCACCCCACGACCGACGACCGCCGACCGCUCCUCCUCCCACCUUCCCCGAUCCCCAACCUCCCUGGAUCCCAUCGCCGGUGACCGCCUGACCUCCGCCGCCGCACGCCUGGCUUCUCCUCCUUCCGUCUCCUUGCCCGUGUCCAGCGUGCACCGCCGGCCCUCCCAUGGCGCUAUCGCCGCGGCCACCCACUUCUCCUACCUCCCCACGGCGAGGUGUGCCUCCACCGCCGCCGUGACCCGAGCCGUGCAUCUCCGGCGUGACACCUCCCCACCACCGCUGCUACCCCAUCCCGCCCCUACCCCCUCCUCCGUCGCCGCCUGCCGGGCGGACCUCGAUUUCCCUACAGGAGGAAGGGGUUCUCGCCGGCUACGUGGGAGAAGGCCAGGGAGACGCGCGGGUCAUGCGGGCGCCGGUGUUGCGUAGCAGUAGGGCGCCGCCAUCGAAUUUUUCAAGGAGAUGCGGCCCCUUCCCCAUCCAACUGCGACCAUGGCGCUGUCCAACCUCGUCUGUGCGCGUAGUCCAUCCUUGUUCACUAGCUCGCCAGCAGAAGUGAGACCCCCCUGCCCCCCCUGCCUCCUUCUCCACCUCAUGUGCUCCUUCAGGACGCGGCACUGAUAGCAAAUGUCACGGCGUACGUCCAGUUCACUCAAGGGGGCUCUCUCUGCUUCUCCGUUGUCCUUAAUGGACCACUGACCCAAACCCAGCGCGCUUCUGGAUGUUGCCUCGGGGAAGAGCAAGUUCCAAAUGUGAAAUUUGGUAAUUCAGGUGGCCGGGAUUCGUGCUUGUGUGCGGCGGGCUGGCAGUUGAAUCUGCUCCAGCAAUUCAGUUAUUUUCAAUUUUUCCAUGUGCAGCAGCACAUGAAUAUGAGUGUAUGGAAAAUGUGUAUGUAGACAUUGAGAAAGUUCAGUAUUGUUUCUUCUAGCUUGCUCAUGCAGCUAUGCAGAUCAUUUCUUUUCAGGCCAUCCCCGUCCAGCCGUCCUGUGGUAGGAAGGUCGAGCCCAUCGCAAGCUGUAGUUCACGCUUCCCUUUCAGCCGUUGAAGCUACAGAUGGAGCCCGCAAUGCAACAGCGUCACCCCAACGGCCAUGGGACGGUCGACGAUGGCUGGGUGUGGUGUGCGUCUCUCGGACGUGCUCGGCGUGCUGCCGAGGGGGCUGCAGUUUGAAGUGGCUGGGUAAUGAAGUUCAGAGAAUGCUUUUUUAGUACAUUCAGAGAAGUUGCUUUCUUGUUUUUUGUGAUAUUUUGGCUACGCAAAUACUUAGUGCAGAGAGGUUGUGACCUUUGGCUCCUCUCAUCCUGAACACUUGCACCACAACCUCAUCUCAUGGGUAAAAUGACUAUUAGUAAAUUGGCACUAAAAAUGAAUACAGAAUAAGUAGAAAGACAAGAUGACCUCAUCUCACUUGUUCCAUCUCAAUAUAGCUCAAGCUUUUUAGAAACUACAUUUGACACAAAGCAUUAAAUUGAUAUAGUUGUGCUAGCUUCUGAAGUAAUUUUAUCACUUUUGCAGGUUUGCCAAUUUAUUUGUAAAUGCUUUGUUUUCCACUAAUUUAUUUCGAAAUGCUUUUUUUCCAUAACAAUUAUUUUGGCAUUAGCAAAACAGAAGUUUUGUCUGGUGGCGAGAGACCAUGCAGGUUGUUUCGUUACUGGAAAAAUGCCUGAAGCAUGAACGCGUAUUUGGUCCGUGGCGUCGUGCUUCGCGUCGGCGACCACCGGGGCUCCUUGGUCCAUGAACAGGUUUGCUCAGUGGCACGCACAAGCCGAGGAAGCUGCAGUCGUGCCUGGAUAAAGUUCAGUUGUCGCUGAAGCUUCUGUUGUUCUCCAUCGCGCGCCUGUAGAGUGUCCAUGCAGGUCGAGUAAAAUUCUCAUGGAAGUUCAAAUAAAAAAAGCAGCUACAGUGCAACCGUCGGUGGCUAUAAUGCGUGGUGAAAACUGAAAUCUGAAACGAGUGUUGUUGGAUAUAGUAGGCAGCAGAUUUUCUGAGGUUUGUUGGUGAACGCAACAACAGUAGUUUGUGCCAUUGGGGCCGUGCGGCAAGCAGAAAUCUACACCUGGAUGUACUCUCUCUGUCUCUCCUGAAAUUCUAGGGCUAAUCUAGUUGUAAUUCUAUCUCAUCUAUUUGUAUUUUCUAUCUCACAUACCUGAACAUAGUAGCAGACUAGCAGUGUUGUAUGGUCGGUCUAUGUGAGGGAGUUUGUGUGAACGUGGUGUUUACUUUUCUUUAGGAAGCCAUUUUUUAAUAA